rnacentral:lncRNA from 1 species
UCACUUUCUCUCUCUAAAACGUCCAACUAGUGAGAAAGUGUAAUAAGGAAAGGUUUUUGAGGGUUUUUAUGAUGAGAAAGUAGAAAAGCACAAAGAACUUUGGGAAAGGGUACACAAAAACAUGAAAAAUCGAGGUUAACUCAAGGAAAUAUAUGGAAAUUCAAGGCAAGCUUCCAUGGGGGGGGGGGGUGAGAGAACGUGGGAGAGAAAGGAGAAGAAGAAGAAGUGC